CCAAUCCCUCGCGUCUUCGAGCCCCCCUUCCCCUCGUCUCCUGUUUCCUCGAGCCCCGCGUCCCCUCCUCCAUGCUCUCCACCCGCCUCCCCCCCUUCGCGUUUCUCCUCCUCCGCUUAAAUUCCACGGCGGCGGCUGGCUCGAGGCGGGGGAGUGGCGGAUGCGGCCUCGGCAGCGGCACGAGAGGAGCGGUGGCGGCAGCGUCCAGCUGUGAAGAGGCGCCGCGCUCGGGCGCGAGAGACGGAGGCGGGAGCGCUGCCCCGGGUCCCAUCUGGGGAGGGUACGAGGCAGGGAAGGACGCCGCCAUCGCAGAGGAGAUGGUCAACAGGGAAAAGAUACACAUGGUGAUGAAGCUUAUGUACUCUCUCCCUGACGAAUAGAGGGGGACGAAUCAGGAUGGAUCCAAGCUGCCGACGCCUCUUCUUUGCUGCCAUGGACGAGCCCUCGCCCAGCGACCACCUCCAUUCAGCUGGCGGCAGACGGCGAUGGCCAACUCCCAGGUGCAGCCAGUGGGGAGGCGACAAUGGCAAGGGCGGCAGGAGACGCAGGUACCUUAGUGAACAUUGUGGAUUGUGCCUCCCACUGUGACUAUGUGCUUAAUUUGUUGUGAUCUGAAAGAGGAGAUGUGAGGAAAUAUUUAUAGCAGCUGAUCAACACUGUCGACUGCUGCCAUACAAGAGGCGUUUAUCACCGUGAUCUGAAGGUAGUGUGGCGUGGUGGUUACUGAUAUGCUCUAUGGAAGAAAAGUGGGUUGAUAGCAUUUUUCUUCUUCCAUGUAUCAUCCUGGAAAGCCUCUGCUUGAUGCUAACAGCACUCUCAAGGUGAUUUUGGACUAAGUGCUCUAUCGCAGCACGUCAGAGUAAGUAAUCUGACUCUUGUAUGGGAAGAAAAGUUGGUUGAUAGCAAUUUACUUCUUCCAUAUAUCAUCCUGAAAAUUCUCUGUUUGAUGCUAACGACAGUCUCAAGAUGAUUCUGAUCCUGAGGUUCUUAAUUUACAUCGAUGCCUUAAAUUAGCUAUGUAUUCUUUUUAUUAAAGUGAAUAUUUUGUUCUCAUUUUUCAGUACUCUUGGAUGUAAAAGUUAAAAAUAAGAAAGGUUAUGACGGAGCCAAGGCUGAUAUGUUCACAAACGUUGCCGACGGUUGCCCUUUGUUGUGCAACGUCUAGGAUUGCGGUUCAUACAUUUUACUUGAUUCUGUUCUUUGUGUUUUUGUUCAUGGUCUACGCUGGCAUUUACCAUGGUUCCCCUUUCUUUCUUUUUUUCAGUCUUGAUCUGUGCAUGCGAAGAGUUCUUAUACGUAUUUGCAUGCCAACAAUUGAAGAUUGGCUCCUGCUUUAGUAUGUGCACUUAGUGUGUGUUCUUCCUGAUGCAGAGUUGGUUAACCUUCCAGUCAAAUUAGCCUACUGUUUCAGGGCCCAGUAGUUCUUUUGUUUGCUACUUGGUCGUACCUGUUAAGAAGCUACUACAUGCAGGUUCAUUGUCAGGUCGGUUGAUUGUUUUGUUGCUCACUGUUACAUGCAGGUUUAUUAGCUAUCCAAGAAAAUUAGCCUCUGGUUUCAAUGUCUGGCAGGGUCCAGUUGUUGGUAUCUUCAGCUGGUUUGCCGUCUACCCCUCUGUUGGCUCGUCGGUUAUUUGUCUUCCCACCAAGGUUGGCUUUCCCGCCUCAGGUUUUUGUUUCAUCUCGUUAUGUUUCUGUACAUUACUUAUUGCUUCUGGUACUGACCGGGUGUUUUUUUUGGUAUAAAUCAUGUUAAUGCAAAUGUUUUAAAGUUCCUGCCCGUUGCAUCUUUGCAUACUUAUUGGAAUUCAAUUUGCUCAUUAAUCGUAGAAUAAAACUUUUUAGCUCUUAUGUAUGGGAAAAUUAGUUGUAUCAUGGAUGCAUCGAUAUAUUGCUCCCAGGCAUUGUUGGCCUAUAAGAUGUUAUUAUAUAUGUGACAUGCUAUUGGCCGAAUACAAUUCAUACUUUACAAACUCCUUAUAGUUGGAGUAGCAUUCAAUCAAUAGAUGGUGUUAAACAAAAUAAACACUUGAUUUGAUUUGUUCAAAUUUUACAUAUACAGUUAUAACACAUUUUUCUUUGUUUUUAUGUAUAUGUUUUUCCUCAAUUUGUUGUUGAGAAGCUCUUGAAAUUUGAUAUAAAUUUAUAGAUAUUCAUAUAGGCGAAAAUGUUGUUUAUUAUGUGUUUUGAUUGAUCAUAUGCUUCCAGCACGAACUUCCAUCUGGUUUGCGGUACCAUGUAUAAAGCACAUGCACAGGUAUCCAGAAAUCCUUCUCACGGAUCCAAAAUAUUUGUUCCCCGCAAAAAAGAUGAGGUUGAACAUCUUUAUAUGAUGGCGAGAUGCAUAUGAUUUCCAGUUUCCUCCUCGCUGCAUCAUAGGAGCUAGGUGCUUCCAGACUAUUUAUGUGGUCCAUUUCGUUUGGUUGGUUUCUGCUGGUACUUAUCAUUUUUCUUGGGCUUCUGAUUUGGUUGCAUGGUAGAGUGUGCUACAACUACACUAUUUGAUAGUUCUACAUGCUUGGUUUGUUGUUCGAUUUAAGCUUACAAGUCUCAUUUUUGUAGUGAGUGACCCACAAAGGAAGCACAAGGAAAAGAGCAAGCCAAAACACAAAUGGAGCGAUUGAAAGGCAAGGGACAAGCUCCUGUGACUAAAAUAACUAGGUAUUUUAAUCAGCCUUGUGCACUGCUAUACUUUUCUCGCUUUAUUAGUUUGGUUACACCAAGGGAACUACAUCAUCUGCGGUUGUGCCUAAAGAUCCUACCCAAACUGGAGGAACCGUUUUUGCUGGAGAUGUUGUUGACCCUGCAUCCAAAACAGAUGUUAGCAUUCAUGUUCAAUUCCACUCUUAUUGUUUUCCCUUUUGUGCAUUCCUCACCCCACGAGCAUCGCCAUGUCAUGAUAGGAAUCUAAGCAAGAUGCUCAGGAUGCUGCUGCUGUAGCUACUGAAGAUGUGAAGAAUGAGCAGUCUGAUCAGACUAAUAAAUCUAAUAAGUACAGACUCUUUCUCUGUAACAUCUGAGCAAUUGGCUGCAAGCCGUGCUAUAUCAUUUAAUUCUUUGCUGCUAAUUGAAGAAUCUUAGAAUUAAUGCUGGUGUCAAGGGCACCUGCUCAACAAAAAAGUCCAAUGCAGUAGUUCAUCCAUGCCCUGGGGUGUGGGUGUACGUGCGGUAUGCCCAUCACUGCCUCAGUUCCCUUAUACAAUCGUCAUGGAUCAAGCGUCAAGGCAGAUAACUUGCAGAUUAGAAGCCAAAAAGAGGCAAAAGAUUCCAAAGCAAACUGAGAAUACUAACAAAGUGUUGUCGCUUAACAAUUGCAUACUGUCGCCAGUCUUCGAGCUCCGAUGAAGAUUCAAGCGACAGCUCAAAAACAAUGAAUUCUAAUAGAUGAUUGCAUUUUAAAAAUUCAGCUCAAAUUUACAAUGCUAUUUAUUAGUUUGAUUUAUAGACCAUGAAUAAACAAUUCUUACCCUUACUACUAUUUUCCCCUUAUGCAAUUUAGCUGUUGCAAUUCAUAUAGAUGUGUUGUUCAUGAUGUAUUCAUGCUAUCAGCUGUUAAAUAAAAUUUCGUUUAUCUCAUAGAUAUACACAGAUUCCUUCCACACCAUUUUUUUGUUAU